UACAGAGGGUGCAAGCGUUAAUCGGAGUUACUGGGCGUAAAGGGUGCGUAGGCGGCGCGGUAAGUCGGGUGUGAAAUUUCGAGGCUUAACUUCGAAACUGCAUUCGAUACUGCCGUGCUUGAGGACUGGAGAGGAGACUGGAAUUUACGGUGUAGCGGUGAAAUGCGUAGAUAUCGUAAGGAAGACCAGUGGCGAAGGCGGGUCUCUGGACAGUUCCUGACGCUGAGGCACGAAGGCCAGGGGAGCAAACGGG
rnacentral:rRNA from 1 species